rnacentral:rRNA from 1 species
UACGUAGGGUGCGAGCGUUAAUCGGAAUUACUGGGCGUAAAGCGUGCGUAGGCGGUCCGCGAAGUCUGAUGUGAAAGCCCCGGGCUCAACCUGGGAACUGCAUUGGAUACUGGCGAUCUAGAGUGCGGUAGAGGGGUGUGGAAUUCCCGGUGUAGCAGUGAAAUGCGUAGAUAUCGGGAGGAACAUCUGUGGCGAAGGCGACACCCUGGACCAGCACUGACACUGAGGCACGAAAGCGUGGGGAGCAAACAGG